UUUUAUGACCAAUUUGUGCAGAAAUCCAUAUAAUUCCAAAGGGUUCACAUACUUUUUCUUGCAACUGUAUAUAUAUAUACGUUGAGAGAGAGAGAGAGAGAGAGAGAGAGUGUUUACACCCUAUAUAUUGUUUUUUGGCGUUUAAUGAUUGUCUUGAUCAAAGUCUGGAACUGAACUGAAACAUGGACCUAAACAUUGAUGUGUAUCACCAUUGCACAAUAAAGGUAUUUUGUUUGAACUACAAAGCCCUCUGAGUGCACUUUUCUUGAAGGCAUAAAGUUUGCACUGAGGUCAGCACGAGACGGAAGAGUGUUUGCUGGGCUGUUGUUGG